UUACAAUAGAUAAACUAAGCCAUUAUUAAAUAAGAUAAAUGAAUUUAAAAAUAAAACAAUAAAAAAAAAUGGCUAAAAGAAAUUCAGCAAACAUUACAGGACUCUUGAUAAUGUAAAUGGUCGGUGGUCCGGAUAAAAGGAAGGAGUGGGCCCAUUGUUGCCCGCGGGUCAUACUUUGCCCACCCUUGGUGUAGAGCUGACGGUGAUGCAGUCAAAUUGAGAAACACUAAGAGGAUUAAUCCCAGCGAGUGAAGCUACUAACCACGGAACAAUAGAAAUGGCGACAAGUAGUGCAUCUGGUCAUUCUUCCCAAGAAGCGAUCGAAAAGUAAACUACUUGGGUACUUACGAGCUGAGCGUGGCGCUGAGGCAGAGGCAGAGUCCUUCUCGGCUGCGGAAGUUCUUGUGUUUGAAGCCGCGCAGCAGCCUUUCCCAAACGUACUGGAGAGACGGGGAGAGCAAAUGAGCAGAGGGAUGAGCAAAGGGAAAAGAUUCCGGCGGGACACUGAGAAGAUUACGAGCGCAAUCGUGCGCGAGUGGGACGGCGACGCGGAUGGCCGAGAGACGAAAACCGCUGCGGCGUUACCGCUGAAGCCAAAAGGGGGCACUAGAGCUCUCAUCUAGGAUGAUGACAGUGAUGUGCUUGUCGAGUGAAGUUUUACCGUGGGCGAGGCCGCCUGCUCCAUGCAGCGAAGGAUGAGCGCUUGGCUGUUCUCCCGACCUGGUCCUUGGCGUCCCCCAGCCGGUCCACCAGCGCUGGCAGGACUACGCAAACGCACACAUAGGACAAAAACAAUGAGGAGUGCCCUCAAGUGGACAUCUCACUAAUGACAGUGCUCGACGGACUCACACAGCCAGUAGCGAUGGUCUUUUGUGAACAAACUCGUUUUUGACGCGGAUGGAGCGGCUCGCUCACCUGUAACCAGGUACCCUCGGAAGGACUCGCCCAGGCGCUCCACAAAGGCGGCACAGAUGUCGAUGCCCAA